UACGGAGGGUGCAAGCGUUGAUCGGAAUUACUGGGCGUAAAGCGUGCGCAGGCGGUUUUGUAAGUCUGAUGUGAAAUCCCCGGGCUCAACCUGGGAAUUGCGUUGGAGACUGCAAGGCUAGAAUCUGGCAGAGGGGGGUAGAAUUCCACGUGUAGCAGUGAAAUGCGUAGAGAUGUGGAGGAACACCGAUGGCGAAGGCAGCCCCCUGGGUCAAGAUUGACGCUCAUGCACGAAAGCGUGGGGAGCAAACAGG
rnacentral:rRNA from 1 species